rnacentral:lncRNA from 1 species
AUGGAGAUUUUCUCAUGGCUACACUUUUCCUCUGGCUCUAGUGGCUCUGCCUGGCAGGCCUCCCAGGCCAACACAUUCUCCCAUAGCUCUGCCUCCUUCUCGGUCCCUAACUCUCUUUUAUAUCUCCCCUCUCAGAAUGGCAUGCCCUACUCCACUUGCUGUGCACCCCGUCACCCCAUCUGCAGCUGCUCCAGCUCCCCAAUCUAUGAGGGAGCUAAAGCUGUCAAAUCUCUAGCCUUUGUCAAAGCAGAAAAUCCCCCUAGUAAAGCCUGCUGCAGGAUCCUUCAGAUGGUAAAGUGACAGGCCAAUGAAGCACAAUCGGCAUGCAAGCUGCUCACUGGCAGACUUCCAAGGGACACCAGUCAAAACAAAUGCACCAAGGAUGAUAUGUAUAUGAGGUUUUUUUUUUAAGUCUCAUCCUAGAACGGGAAGAAUUAGCAAGAAAUGCUUCUUUUCGUUAUGAGGUGGCUCAUUCUUGACCAGAUGAACUGUAUGCAAAUGUUAAACAAAAUUUAAAAUAGCAAGGAAAAAAAAUAUAAGGGCACCUUUGGAGAAAGCCAUAAACCAUAACUAGAGUAGGGUAUCUGGAGUUUUGAGCAUGGGAACCAGAAUGUAGAGGUUCAGAUCAACAUUCUUGGCAUUUAAUCUUUCAAAAAAAAAACAAAAAAACCAUCCAGCUUCUGAAUAUGGAAUAUGGCUUCCAUGUGCAUGUACUGCCUCCUCCUUGACAGGGAGAGCGGAACACCACACAGGCAAGCACAGCAUGGAACCGAUACAGCACGGGGUUCCAUGGUGUUCAAAAAGCCACACAUACAGUGGGGUCAAGCUCCUUGGUAAAGUAGGCAGUGAAACCACCGAAGUCCAAGAGAGUUAAGAAUGUAAUAUGCUACCACCUUGCAGGAGGUGAUGGGGGUUGUAAUCCAGCACCUCUGGAAGAAGAGGUUGGGAACCUGAGAAAGGUUGGCUUCAUGUCAAAUUAGAGGGCUUGGUUGGUACAAAUUACACACCACUGCUGAAUACUAGAUGGUGAUGCUUUCUCUCAACUGCUGACGCAAGAUAUAAAUAGAACAAAAAGAAAAUUUCCAUGACUUAUGAGCAAGCAUCCUCAAGCCCUGAGAUGUCAUGUGACUCCGCAUUGACACAAGAAGGAUGAAAAGAUUCUCAACAUAUCUCCUGUAUCAGCAGUAUGAGCUACUUCCAGUAUCUCUGGCUUGAAGAUGGUUUUAUAGAAGGAAAACUUCCAACUGCGACACUUGUUAAGGUGCGGAAAACAGCGGUGGAACAGUCAGGCCUGAAGAAAAGAAUGGCAUAAAGGGAUAAUAAAAAAUACCUGUUUCGAAAGGUGAAGCCUUAU